GCAGAAGGUGCCUCCUCUGAUCCCACCACAGAGGCUGCUGCAGCUGCUGAACCGGAAGGGACUACAUCUGCAGCAAAACCUGCUUCACCCCAAGAGCCCGCCCAGGAACCACAAAGUGCCGCCCCAAGUAAAGAAGAACUAAACCUAUUGAAAUUCCUGGCAAACAAAGAUCUCUUGGUAUCAGGACAUGGCUUAGAAGGAGCAAAAAAAACACUGCAUAAAAGAGUUGAGUUUGGAAGACGUCUUUAUGAGGGUGGAGCUGAAUGGGGACGAAAUCUGAGAAACUGGGGUGCAAAACUGAAUGUAGUUGGGGUCUGAGAAGUUGAAAAGAAUGGGAUCAAAGCCUUAACCAUGCUUGCAGCCCAGCAUGAUUAAACUGAAGCAUCUAACU
rnacentral:lncRNA from 1 species